rnacentral:sRNA from 1 species
UUUUAGCCCUGAUCGAAGCGAUAUCUUCUGGCUGCGGGGUUCGCAGGCAGAGAUAUAGCGCAGAGCAGGACAUAAG